rfam:Ictidomys tridecemlineatus contig079457, whole genome shotgun sequence.
UGCCUGUGACCUGGAUAGAGUGGUGUCAAGUUGGUGGUACUCACCACAUAUCGGGCAGCCUCUGUUUCUCCCAGUUUGGCUUUUGGUUUAUGUAUGUCCCUACCUGGCUCAAGCUUUGGUUGCAUGG